rnacentral:rRNA from 1 species
CCUUUCCCGAUCGAUCACUCUGGUACCAAUGUCACCCCCGCUGGCUCGUCCGGUGGGCGUCGGUCCCCUGGCUGGGGUUUUCGAACCGCAGUUUCAGGUCCGGCGGGCUCGCUCCGACGGCUGGAGCUUAAUUUUUAAGUUGCUCCGUCGGUUGCAGGCUGGUAAUUCGUAUCCAACCCAACCCACCCCAAACUUCAACUCACUCUGAAGCUGUCUUGUGUGUGCGCUCCGGCGCCUCACUCAAACCAAAGACAACUCUCAACAACGGAUAUCUUGGCUCCCGUAUCGAUGAAGAACGCAGCGAAAUGCGAUACGUAGUGUGAAUUGCAGAAUUCCGUGAACCAUCGAAUCUUUGAACGCAAAUUGCGCCUGAGGCUUCGGCCGAGGGCAUGUCUGCCUCAGCGUCGGCUUACCCCCUCGCCCUCCCUUCCCUGUGAACGGAGGGCGGACCUGGCCCUCCCGGCUCCGUUUGGCUUUGCCAUGCGUCCGGGUCGGCUGAAGUGUAGAGGCUUGAGCAUGGACCCCGUUUGUAGGGCAAUGGCUUGGUAGGUAGCAUCCGCUACAGCGCCUGCCGUUGUCCGAGGGGACUUUGCUGGCGGCCCAGCAGGAAUUCGGUGCGUGCGGUUUUCCGUCGCCCGAAUGCUUUCACUUUCGACCUGAGCUCAGGCAAGACUACCCGCUGACUUUU